CGUAGAGGGCGUACCUUCUUGCCCUUUUUUGGUCAAACCCCAAUCUUCUAAGAUUAGUGUUUCCCUUUAGUCCAAAAUGUUUUAAGGGAUUUGGCAAACACUUAAUAUCAGAGCUAGACGAUUUUCCAAGCAAAUACUUUUCUUUUAGGAAGCUAACUUAAAAUUAAUUAUUCUUUUCCUCAUUUGGGUUCACGAUGGUGGCAUAUGGAUUAGCGACCUCCUGUGCCCAAAAGAUUCAAAUCUCUUGAUCAAAAGGCUCAUUUCAUCGCCUUAGUAACAGUAAACGUACUAUAGCAACUAUGUAUAAACAGAGAUCUUAAAUGUAUUUUCAUCCAAUUCUCUACAAAAGGAUUAACUACCUUAUUACUUAACCAAUAUCUAAGCUUGAAAGUAUCUGCAAAUAUCUUUUCCUUUUUUAUUAAGACAACAAUCGAGGCAAUAUGUUCCAAUAUGUUCCGAUGUCUCGAGGCAAUAUGUUCCUAAACAACAGCAAAAUUGGGACUGUUGCAUUUAGCGAUUUCUACUUCAACGCUAAGAAAGUAAAAAUGAAUGAACCAGAUCUCAUGGUUAAUUCAUCUAUCCAUUAAUGUCGCAUAUUAUUCUGUUAAAGUUCGUCCUUGAAUAUCUGUACUUGGAAAUUUCCUUUUGGAUAGCCUGUUUUAUAGAAAAUUCUUAAAAGCCACGCCACUGUAUAUUUUUUUUAGUUGACGAUGUUAGGGGAAGGCUCAUGAGCCUAUACUAAAGCCCUAGCAAAGGAAUAGAGAAAGGAUUAGGAAGUGAGAGAGGAAAAAGCAAGUUUGUUUACCUUCGUUUUGAAUAAAGACAGGUUGUAAGAGUCUGGAAAACAGGAAGAGUUUAGAGCAUUCCAAAGAUUACAAGAUCUUAGGAGGAAGAAAGAGUGGGAUAUGAUGAAGAUGGAAGGAGCUACCCCACCCCGUAACCCCUUCGAACUGCUCGAUACCUGUAUAGUUUGCAGGGGCUCUUUGAAACAUUCAAUUGAGAUUAUGUAAGACCCUUUCAGAACUCUUCAUCAAUGCUCAAUUUGAACCUUCAAUGGAUUUUGCCAUAGCAGCAAUUUACUGUUCUUUGUGUAGAUAGGAACCUCCAGUAGUGCAUCAAGGAGUUGUAUUGGGGUGUAAUUACCCCCACUCUUGCCAAAACAUAGUCCUCAUAUUUUUUCUAAAAAAUUGAAAAAUGCAUAGGGUAGGGGUAGGUUAUGUUUUUUUAUUUGCUGAAGGAAAAUACGCCUGGUAUUAUUCAUGAUAAAGGGUAAAAAUGGGGUGUAGUCUCAUGGGUCAUGCCGAUUACCCUAUUCCUCUGCAGAAGCUGGCCCCUCACUGGGAACCGUCAUUGCAACACAAGGGUACACUUAGCUAAUAAAUUUAUAAUUUAGUGCCCAGGCUUCUACCGUUUGGUGUAGCCUGAUAAAAAAGGUAAUUGUCGCAAAUCGGUUUUAAAAGGGUUGCCCGUGACGUAUUAUAAUACUGAGAUUAACGCGCAUGAAAAGAGAUUCUGAAUUACUGUUUGAAGUUCGUUAUAUAUGAGAGACUUUCUAUCCUUGGCAGAAGAGCCAAAACAAUUGGUGUAUUGAAAAAAGGAGAGGAACAGAAAAGCAGAAGCAGAUGCGUGUACAGCUGAAACAAAGAAAAAGCAGAAGUGACUUAACUGAUGAACGUAAAAUCUGGAACAAGGUUGCGCAUCGGUUAACCCAGAACCAAGUAUUCCUUUCAGGGCCCGCACCACUGGGUGGCCAUGGCCCCCCACUAUUUUGGGAAGCAAGUAGUUUUAAAACUGCAAUAAAAGUGGUAAGAAGCCUUGACCCCCUAAAUUUCUAGCCUUGCCCCCCUCCACUUAAAAAUUCGUGGCGCGGGUUAUGUCGUUGGGUUAAACAGGGUGAAGGUAACUUCCCGUUUGAAGUGCGUUAUAGAUCAGAGAUUUUCUAGACUGUGCUCCAGACCCCCAACUUGAAGGAAGAGGGAAAUCUACUCCAAAAGUUUUCUGCCUUUGGGAAAGAGCCAAAUAGAUUUGUAUGUGGAAAUAUAGAUAGAAGAACAAAGAUACAGAGAGGUCGAGGAGCUCACAGUUGGAACGAAAAAAAGUAGAAGUUGCUUUACUGGUUAAACUUAAGCUGAAAAUUUGGAACAAGGCUGAGCAUUGGUUAAACCAGAGCCAAAUUUUCCAUCUUUCCACCUAGACUAGACGCUUCUACUAUUCUUGUCUACUCUCUUCUAUUUUCACGUUCAAGUUUAUGUGUGUCGGGUGCCUGGGGUUCAGGUUUUCCAGCUUUUUUAUUUUUUCUUUCUUUAUUUAAAGUUGGUACAAUUUCUAGCUAUGCAUACAAGCUAAUUAAAACCAACUAAUUUAAAUUACCAACGCUAAAUAUAAUAUAAAUCAAAUAUAACCGAUGUUACUAACAUAUUCCUUGCAAAGAUUACAAGUACAAUUAAACGAUGUAAAUUCUGAGAUUUUUUUCUUGAAAAUUGAUAAUGUAGGGGAGUACUUUAUCUCAUUUGGAAUUGAGUUCCAUAAUUGGCUACAUCUGUAUGAUACGGAGCUUGUGUAGGAACAUUAGGUGGGGGGUAGGGGGGUCUUUGUCUAUUGUUGUAAACAAGGAGAUGUCACAUUAUUUUUUCUUGGAAUACAUCUUUGUAUACUUUGAGCCUAUAAUAGAAUUUCAAAUAGUUAAAAGGGUACGAUCAAUGCAGUGCAUUAUUUAUCAAUGUGUGUAGACCUGCAAAGGGCCCAAUCUUUUUUCCAUAAUGCUGAAGAAUGUUAAGAUACAUCUCCAUCAAUUCAGCAUGAGUUUGUUUUGCAAAACCAUGCAUACUUGACAAAACAAAAACUCUUCAAAACAAAGAGAAAAGGCACCCCUAUUUGUAUGUACCAAUGAAAGCAACAUUGAAGAAUACUGGGCUACUUCAUUCAGUCUAACUACUCAACUUUUUGUCGCGUUAUCCAAUGGUAAUCGAUAAAUUUUUGCAAGAGGCUCAUUGCUUCUGCAUAACACUGCAAACUUUACAUCUGCUCCACCUCCUGAAUACCCUUUUAAUUUUCUUAGAUCAUCUCUCCAUCGAGAUUUGUUUGGCAUAUUUCAUGCUGCUCAGUACGCAUGAAACUGCUGCAAAAUUUAUUGUUGUUAUGAACUUACCAAAUUUUAUCAAUCCUACUCAAACAAUUUUCUAAUCAUAUUUUGAAUCAGAGACUAUUAAAACUAGCUCUCAUCAACCGCAAUGGAUUCUUUAAUCACUUCUAUAGAUUAACUGGCUCACAGAGGAACUUUCCAAUUGCUUGAAAUAUUUCAUUUUCAACCACAUGCUAGUUGUGGGCUGUGACGCCCCCACACUACCCCGCAAAAUCAAAUAGCAAAAGUAUAAGAGGCGUCAUUAGAAAUCAAUAAGUGCUGAAGAAAAUUUUCACUUAAAUUCUGUAAAGAUACUACUAAGAUUAGAUUCUACCCAGUACCUUCAAUGUAAUUUCCCACGAAUAUGGUCACAGGUGAAGCAAGCUGCUAAAGAAGAUAGUAGUAGGGUUAUGGGCGUAGCCUUCGGAAAGUGCACAACUUCUUACAUCACUAAAACGCCUUUUGCAUCGCUUUAGAGCUACAACCUUCUAAAACUGCUUUUUUUAGGUUCUGCAUACAAUAUCAGACAUAAACAGUCUUCUCUUCUUGUACAGAGAAUAAAGAGAGACUGAAGAAUCGCAAAAAGAGAUGUUCAGAGGGUUGUAUUAUUCACAGUAUCAAGUAAGACCGAAAGUGCACAAGUGCAAUUAGAAACGAUUUCCUUUUUUAGGAUCUAUGUGGAUGAAAGAGGGUCGUUACCCAAUUAGAGGUAAGUCUAGUGUCCUAAUUUGGCCUUUAAGUAAAAUUAUCUGAAUCUUUCCAUCUGUCUCGUAGAUCUUUUACGAUUUAUCUGUCUUACAAAAGUGACAGUCAUUUAACCUCUCUUAACACCGUAACGUAAGCUUUUUAAUAAGCAAAAGUAUCAUUCAAUCUCUGAAUUAGAGAAAGAAGACGUUUCCUCAUAGGGAUUGUUUUUAUCAUAUUUUCCCUUCUCCUAAUUAUUUGCUGGGUCAGAUUAGCAAUGCUGAAUCUAAAACUGCUUUUGAUAACUCAAAGAAACAAUGAACGGUAAUCGAAAAUUAAAGUGAAAAUCAUAUAUAAAUACAGAGGAUAAAAGCAUUUGCUGCUUUUAACUGGCUAAGAAACAGCUAAACUGACUUUUUAACAUACGAAUAGAGCGUCUUAUUUCUCAGAGCGUUUAAGCAAAGGCUAUAGUUAAAUCAUCCAGGGGCUCAAGUAUUGGUUUUGCAUUAUUCCUUUUGUGGUGAUAAGAGUCUUUCGAUGGGGUGAAAGGGGAAAUAGUAGCCACUGGCUUCAAUAGCACUAGACUUUGCCAAUGUCUAUUCAGGCAUUUCAGUAUAUUUCGGGGUCGUGAAGGGGGAGAUGUGAGACACACAUGAUACAGAAGUAGCAUCUCUUUGCUUAUCUCUCCGCUUGAUCUAUAAUCAUUGAACAAUAAUGAAAGAAAUGGUUUGUUAAAACUGUGAUACCACUCUUUGGACACGCUUUGGAGUAAAGAAAACAGCUAAGAAUUAACGAAGACCAUCACUUCACAAGCGGAUAAAACGAGAAAAUGUUAAUGCUGUUAAACCUCGUAUGUAACAUCAUAAGUUAAAGCUUAAUUCAUUCAGCUGUCAAGUUCAAAAUACUUACCUGUAUGGAGGUUAAUGUUUAUCUUCUUAGAAUAAAUGGAAACGUAUCUUUUUGAUUCUAAUCUGGUUAAUAAUCAACAAGCUUACGAUUGUUACUAAGGUGCAAGAUUAUCCUACGUCUGCAGGAUUCUGUUGCCCGGAACCCUCGUGAACGUCUUUUGUUUCUCAACACGAUCGGCAUCUGGGAUUUUUUUGAAGUAAUUGACUUGGUUUUCAAUGUGGGUUUUUAAAGUUGUAAAUUCUGCAAUACAAGGAAGCUGGGAGGAUACAGUGCCCAAUGCUAAUGAUUCGAAUGCAGCAGUUAAAAUAUGUUUUUGCUUUAUAAACAUGCACCUUAAUUGACCAGACAGGUUAAGACCUGUCCUGUUCAAUAAUCAGUUUCUCCAACUUGAUAAAGCAAGAGACGUGUUGAACACCCUGGCAGUGAGACUCAGAUACGCCCAUUUGAUGUCGAUCCUAAGGAAGUUCGUAUUCAUGUAAACAAUCCAGCUAAGAGAAGAGUAUUUUUGGGAAAUAUCUUAUAAUUGGGUAAUUACAAAGUAAUGGAAGGCCAAAUCAACAAUAACGAAAGCUUGAACACCGUUUUCCAUAUUCCUGAACAUUGGAUGCCGGUGGAUCAAAGAUAAUAAAUCGAAAUUCAUGUUUGUAUCAAUUGAAAUAGACUGACAAAAAACACGUCAAAAAUAUCCCAAUCACUCAUUUCCAAUGAGUAUAAAAUUGGCAAUGCUCUAUAAAAAUGCCUUCUUCAAAGCUACUCCAGUAAAUCAUGCAGCGAUAGUUAGAAAAAGAUAGUUAAGACUAUACGUGGCUCUUUCUAUGUUUGUAUGCUAAGUUUUCUUGUCUAUGACGUCAUUGCACUUAAUCUUCAAGCAUCCAAUCAAGAGCAAAGCAUGCGUGUAUUGUCUCGUUUUUUCGAAUAAUGUACAUAAUCAACUUUAUUGCAAUAGGCACAUGGGUACCUGUCUGGUUUUCUUUUUUGUACUCAGUCAUAACGUGCUUUACUCUAAAAGGUAUAGUAAAAUCGGCAAUAUUUGUUUUAUUUUUAAGCCUGAACGUUUGAGAGGUACCUCUUUUUACUUUCCAGAUUGAACAUUCCCUGUUUUGCCAAUUCUAGCUUCUUUAGUAUCGGCAAUAUAAUAUAUGGUGUCCAUAAGGGCUCCUGUCUUGGUCCACUUCUGUUCCUAAUCUACACAGAUGAUCUAACAUUUUUCUUAAAAAGGAAAUUUUAUUGUUUGACAACGGUUCUGCGACUUGGCAUUCCUUGAGGCUAUUUCUUGAACUUCAGCAUGAUUUUAACCUACAUCUUGCCAAUAUACAGACCUGACUGCAGGGAAAGGAGUUAACAUGGUAAAACAUAGUUUACGAAAAUACUUUGCAAAACAAAUAUUCCAAGUUUCAGUUUCAUCGUCGCUUUUCAAUCUUACUUGAUAACGGGCUAUGCUUGAAACGUCGUUAAUUAUUUUAAAAAGAUAUUUUCCUGGUACAAG